rnacentral:rRNA from 1 species
CGGCGGAGAGGGGCUAGGUCUAGGUUGGGUUCGCGGGCAGGAGGCGGCGGCGUCGGUGCUGCAGUGCCGGACGAGGAGCACCACCAGCGCGGCCACGAGGCGCGGCGCGUCUCGGGGUAGAGCGUCGGCAGCAGCCGGCCGCGCGGGUGGCGCAGGGGCGAGGAGGCGGGGCUGCACCUGAGAGCGUUGGGAGAGAGGUUGGGAUUGGGAGAGGGAGGGAGUCUAGAGUUAUGCGGCGGCGGGGAUAGGGAUGGGGGCGCAUCGGGUUAGGUUAGGCGGCGGCAGGAGAUGGGUCUAGGGAGGGGCGAGGCCGCUCGGGCGGUACUUGGCAGACGCCCGCCGUCGCGUCGCCCUCGUCGUGCCCGAAGUGGAGGGGCCCGGUACAGAGGGGGAAGGUGGUAGCGAGGAGGAGGUGGAGGAAGUGCCGGAGGGAGGGCCCGUGGCGGGCUCGUCGGAGCUGUCCCUGCUGGACCUAGGCCUGGGCCGGCGCCGGUGGUGCCUCCGAGAGCGGUUCCAGCUGGAGAGGCUGCUAGGCCUGCGGUGGCGGUGGCGGUGGCGGUUCAGGCGCCGAGGUCGUUCGGGGCAGUCCGUCGGUCUCCGCCGCCGACGCUGCACCCACUAGCGUUAGUUGUUCCUCAAGGGCCCGGGGCAGCAGUUGCAGUGGUGUUUGAUGUUACAGCGGCAGUUGCAGGAGUUGUCGGAGCUGCUCGGCGAGGAGUAGUGGACCCUGCCGUAGGUCGUCGCCUUCUUGACGACCGUCCUGCCGCACGACCCGUGGUUGACGGGGUAGGGCGGGCCUACCUUGACCUGGAUGUUGAAGGUCCAGUACCUGCUGCGCACGUUCAGCGAGCUGAUAGGUCUUCUGGUCUGGACACGAAAGUCAAGUCAAAGCAGUCUAUAUAGACGACGGUACGAGAAGAUAAACAUAAGUCAAACCAGUCCGAACACCAAGGACCUGCCGGAACCGAUAGGAUAGAUAGAGUCGAAGUAGUCAAUCCCCGUUAGUUACAUCAUCAUCACAUUGCAACUAAACGUAGAAUAGAAUAGACACCCUUUUAACUAGCUUAGCUUAACGUCCUCGAUAGAAUUAAUCGAAGUAGACAAGCCUAGUACACAGUUAGUAUAAUCGACACUACGGUAAAAAUACAAGCAUAAUCGACGUAGAAUAAACACAAAGGGGUCAAAUACUUAGUACAAAAGCAAAUGCACGGCAUUCUUCCGACAUAAACCAUUAGUGGGUUUUACGGAGAGAAAAAAAUCGACUACUUAGCAGGAUGUACGUGUCAAACGAACUACAGGCACAAAUAGGUCUAGGUCUUACAAACUAACGUUGUAAGAUAACUUCUAACUUCAUAUCCUGGUCGCAUGUACUAAACCUUGGAAAACCAAAGCUAGUCAACGACGACGACUAAAUUACGGAUACGAGUGCGACGACAACUAAUUUACGAAUACAACAACGACGUACGAAUACGAUGACUAAGUUACGAAUCCUUAACUAACUUAACUUGGACGACAUUAGGAAGGACAAGAUGAACAUAAAUUAAAAACCCAAAGAUAAACUAAACAAUCAGACAAUAUAUGCCAAGUAGAAGUCAAAGAAGACAUUGAACGAACCUCGAAUCUUAUGUGUCGGGUUGAUCAGAGUAUAUGUUGAUUCUGGUUACUAAGUACGACUUAAGACAUAUAUAUACAUACACAACCUAACCUCUUGGUGAGCUCCUCCCUCCCUCCUUCGUGCCUUCCAGUGGUACCUGGAGCGGGUUGAGGGUGGGUAGAAGGACGGACGUCGACAUCCGGUUUAUUUCCUACAACAAGAGCCACCUCAACGCGAACUCGUACUCAUCUCUCUCUUUAAAUUAGUUUAGGUUAUCGAAGUGAGCACAGACGGUGACGAGUAACAGCACAACUGUCUCGCAAGUGGGCUACCGCCUUAUGGUGCGGCGUCGCACCCGUCAGCCGCCAACGCGAUAUAUGCACUCACUGUUUGGGCUUUUGGUACUGAAGCUAGACGACUCCUUCGAACACAAAGGACUGCCUAGUUAGGACGCUCGGUUUGACGGGCCCUCUGUUUGACCUGAUGGCAACAGCGCCUUUAAGGCACGCUACCUUCGAAGAUCUCGGACGACCAUGAAGGAUCGGUCUUCGGGGUGCUCGAGCUGCAGGUCGAGAUGUUGGUGGUAGGGUGCGUGUUCGUCCACGAGACGAGAACGAGUGCAGAUCGUGGCAGAGACCACGCUACCACGAAGAACUCCGCUGGUGUUCGAGAGGCGACACUCAUCUGCAGUUGCUACGGAUGAACGAACCGACGAUGUCACUACGUACGCGGCCAGUUCGUUCGUGUGUACGUAUAUGCAUGUACAAUCCUAUCAUCGUCUACACGGUAUUAAGGACACAUUCCUUUACAUAAGGACUCUACUAAAACAAUACAAUAGAUUUGGACCCUCUACAGAAUACACUACACUAUACUACCUACUAGACUUAAGCUGUAACUCAAAGGGAUUAAACUUAUACUUUGUUACAGCCUACGCACACACAUUGACCUAAUUUCUC